UGGGGAAUUUUGGACAAUGGGCGAAAGCCUGAUCCAGCAAUGCCGCGUGCAGGAUGAAGGCCUUCGGGUUGUAAACUGCUUUUGUACGGAACGAAACGGCGAGCUCUAAUAAAGUUUGCUAAUGACGGUACCGUAAGAAUAAGCACCGGCUAACUACGUGCCAGCAGCCGCGGUAAUACGUAGGGUGCGAGCGUUAAUCGGAAUUACUGGGCGUAAAGCGUGCGCAGGCGGUUGUAUUAGUCGUUCGUAAAAUCUACGAGCUUAACUUGUAGGCGGCGAACGAAACGGUACGACUUGAGGUUUGGAGAGGUGCGUGGAACUCACGGUGUAGGGGUGAAAUCCGUUGAUAUCGUGGGGAACACCAAAGGCGAAGGCAGCGCACUGGCCAAAAUCUGACGCUCACACACGAAAGCUAGGGUAGCGAAGAGGAUUAGAUACCCUGGUAGUCCCUGAGCGGGCUGGCAAGGCGCAU
rnacentral:rRNA from 1 species